rnacentral:rRNA from 1 species
UACGGGGGGAGCAAGCGUUGUUCGGAUUUACUGGGCGUAAAGGGCGCGUAGGCGGUCGUGACAAGUCACUUGUGAAAUCUCCGGGCUUAACUCGGAAACGGUCAAGUGAUACUGUCGGACUAGAGUACAGAAGGGGCAACUGGAAUUCUCGGUGUAGCGGUGAAAUGCGUAGAUAUCGAGAGGAACACCUGCGGCGAAGG